AACUGGUCGCCUGACGUCCUUGGUCCUGGUGGCCUCUGGCAGGGAGGCCAUUGCUGAGGGCGCCGUGGGGAACCAGUUUGUGCUAUUUGAUGAUGUCCCCUUGUACUGGGAUGCAUGGGACGUCAUGGACUACCACCUGGAGACACGGUAUAGGCUGGGCAGCAUGUGGUAUAGGCUGGGCAGCAUGUGGGGAUGGUGGAGGUGGUGGGAACACAGGCUGCUCUGGAUCAGUAUGUCCACCCCUGUCCCAUAGGAAGCCUGUGCUGGGCCAGGCAGGGACCCUGGCAGUGGGCACCGAGGGCGGCCUGCGGGGCAGCGCCUGGUUCUUGCUACAGAUCAGCCCCAACAGUCGGCUUAGCCAGGAGGUCGUGCUGGACGUUGGCUGCCCCUAUGUCCGCUUCCACACCGAGGUACACUGGCAUGAGGCCCACAAGUUCCUGAAGGUGGAGUUCCCUGCUCGCGUGCGGAGUUCCCAGGCCACCUAUGAGAUCCAGUUUGGGCACCUGCAGCGACCUACCCACUACAAUACCUCUUGGGACUGGGCUCGAUUUGAGGUGUGGGCCCAUCGCUGGAUGGAUCUGUCGGAACACGGCUUUGGGCUGGCCCUGCUCAACGACUGCAAGUAUGGCGCGUCAGUGCGAGGCAGCAUCCUCAGCCUCUCGCUGUAAGUGGGGUACCCACCAGGCCUGGGAGCUGGCAUGGAGAAAUGGGUCUUCCCGACCACAACUCCAACAGCUUCAGCGUGGCCCCUACGCGCCCUCCUCACCCCAGCUUGCGGGCGCCUAAAGCCCCGGACGCUACUGCUGACACGGGGCGCCACGAGUUCACCUACGCGCUGAUGCCGCACAAGGGCUCUUUCCAGGAUGCUGGCGUUAUCCAAGCUGCCUACAGCCUAAACUUCCCCCUGCUGGCUCUGCCAGCCCCCAGCCCAGCGCCCGCCACCUCCUGGAGUGCGUUUUCCGUGUCUUCACCCGCGGUCGUAUUGGAGACCGUCAAGCAGGCAAGGGCAGCCCCCAGCGCCGCUCGCUGGUCCUGAGGCUGUAUGAGGCCCACGGCAGCCACGUGGAUUGCUGGCUGCACUUGUCGCUGCCGGUUCAGGAGGCCAUCCUGUGAGUGGCGGUGAGGGAUUGGGGCGGGGGUCGAGUCUCGCCCUCGCAGAGCCUUCAUGGCCCCUCCUGUUCUCCAGCUGCGAUCUCUUGGAGCGACCAGACCCUGCUGGCCACUUGACCCUUCGGGACAACCGCCUGAAGCUCACCUUUUCUCCCUUCCAAGUGCUGUCCCUGUUGCUCGUGCUUCAGCCUCCACCACACUGAGUCCUUGGGGCUGGGGUUUUGUUUGUUUUGUAGAAGGCUCUGGGGACUCCUAAUUUCUGCUUCCCCAGCCUAAAGCAGGGAUCAGUCUCUUCUUGUGGAAUAAAUC
rnacentral:sRNA from 1 species